rnacentral:lncRNA from 1 species
UACCUGAAAUUUAAAACUUCUGUUGAUAACAGAAUCGAAGGUGAUUACACAGUUUCAACUCCACCACAAGAACUCAACGGCAAAUCAAAACUCGAAUAACAGCAAACCAGUAGCAGUCUAGUAGAAAUAAGAGGUUCGAACAGCGACCAACUCGAACUUCUUUUGAUAAUAGAAUCGAAGGUGAUUACACAGUUUCGACUCCAAAAUUCCCACAAGAACUCAAUGGCAAAUCAAAACUCGAAGUACAGCAAACCAGUAGCAGUCAAAUAGAAAUAAGAGGUUCGAACAGCGACCAACUCAGCAAAUUCUCAAACGAGCUCCACUUUAAAAGAACUCCACCCCAGAAAGAAGAUACGAAAUAUUUUUUUUUUAUUUUUCUGAAAUGUAAUUGAAAACGAAAACAGACUCAAAGAACAAUGAACAUUUUUUUAUAUCUGUUUUCCUUACUCUGGAACUAAACUAAACUUAGAAAACUAAAAUGAAGAAGGAUGUUACUUUGAACCUUAGCCUUUCUGCCAAAAUCUCUCUCCAAAAUAAUCCUCCCCUCUCAAAAUCGGAUCCAGCCCUUUAUGAAAUGAACCCCUGACGAAUGUGGGGCUCGGAUUGAAUGAAAUGUAUCCAAUACCUCACAUUCAUCCAAUGAAUCGUCUCUAGGACCUCCCAAUCGCGAGGUAAAUCUCAAAAACAAGCAAAUUAGAGGAGAGGGAAUCUUUGGUGUCAGAAACCGUUAUCUGCGAUAAGAGGAGAGAUAGAGGAACGCGUGGGUUAGGGACUGAUAUCCACUCGCGUGAAUUUUGAGCUGAAAUGGGGGCUUGGUUCGUGGAGAAGAAGAACAGUACACAGAAUCGCGUUUGAGAGAUUUAGGGUUUUCGUGAUUUUUUGGGUCUCUGAAGACUGCUGUGUAUUUUGGGUAUGUGGAGCUGAACCGGGUUUGGGCUGGUAA